rnacentral:lncRNA from 1 species
UUGCUUUCUGGCCCUCAAACACCAAGGCACUGUUGUGCUCCUUAAAAUUGUAAAUUAUGUCUGUUUAAGAAAAUGUCAGUGUUUUUUAAAACAGAAUAACAGUGCUGGAAAAGACUUGGCUGUGCUAUUUGUCACCAAAGUUCCAUGCAAGGAAAAUGAUGCAUGCAUCAUUAUGAGCACAGCCAAGGGUUCCAAUGACGCGGGCACAAUGCCUCUUCAGUUCUUGUAAGUAACGUGAUGGGUUUUUUUUUUUCUUUCUCCUCAGCAAGUUAUCUGAGUAAUGUAAAAGCUCAUAAAAUGAGAUCCAAGGAGACUGUCAAUAAUGCACUAUACUUAACAACAAUUAAAAUGUAAGACACAUUUUGUAUGAUUAAAUUGAUUUUUUUUUCUGCCAGAAACAAGACUUUUUCAGCAUGACAGAAAACAGAUCUUCAGAAUCAAGGUGGAAAGGAAAUUCCGGAUUGGAGUGAGAGUGUCUGCAAUUUCCCUGGGUAUAAAUAACCACACCCACUAUGUCAUGAGCUGCCUGAGAAGCAGCAGCGCAAAGGCCCUCCCGCAGUCCUCCCUCCCCUGCAUGUUUAAUGGUGCAGUGCUGGCUCAGAGUGAUGAAGAGGAGCAGGACACUGUGAGCUUCAAAGCAAAUCUGCUGUGCUGUAAAUGGUUUCUAAAAACCCAAAGUGGGAAAAUAUGAAUUCGUGCCCACCUGAGUAUGGACAUUUCUAACGUGAAUGCAUUCGGCUCCUUCAGCUUCUGAUCCACGGGUGUCUCUCUGGACUUCUCAGUCUUUCCUCUCCCACACCACCCACACUUCUCGACGUGCAAGACUUUCCCCUGACGUUCCUCAUGGUGCUUCUGCUUCUCUGCGCAAACAGGUCUAGUCUAUUGGAAGCGUCUCUGCUGUACCCUUUGUCUACACUUCACCUUCUUCAAUCCUUUCUUCCGCUUAUAAACAGCAAUCUUGCCAUAUGCAAUUUGAGCUUGUCUUUCUUUUUACAUAAUCC